rfam:Acidobacteria bacterium 13_1_20CM_3_53_8 13_1_20cm_3_scaffold_10, whole genome shotgun sequence.
CCCAGGGCUUGCGCCCUGGGCUUUACUCUGCCGCCCCUUUCAGGGGCU